rnacentral:rRNA from 1 species
AUUGAACGCUAGCGGGAUGCCUUACACAUGCAAGUCGAACGGCGUGGCGAACGGGUGAGUAAUGUAUCGGAACGUGCCCAGUAGCGGGGGAUAACUACGCGAAAGCGUAGCUAAUACCGCAUACUAUUGGAGCGGCCGAUAGCGGAUUAGCUAGUUGGUGGGGUAACGGCGCACCAAGGCGACGUACCGUAGCUGGUUUGAGAGGACGACCAGCCAGACUGGGACUGAGACACGGCCCAGACUCCGACGGGAGGCAGCAGUGGGGAAUUUUGGACAAUGGGGGAACCCCUGAUCCAGCCAUCCCGCGUGUGCUAUGAAGGCCUUCGGGUUGUAAAGCACUUUUGGCAGGAAAGCGGUACCUGCAGAAUAAGCACCGCCUAACUACGUGCCAGCAGGCGCGGGAAUAC